GCUGGGCAUGGUGGUGGGUGCCUAUAAUCCCAGCUACUCAGGAGGCUGAGGCAGGAGAAUCGCUUGAACCCAGGAGGUGGAGGCUGCAGUGAGCCGAGAUCAUGCCACUGCACUCCAGCCUGGGUGACAGAGCGAGACUCUGUCUCAA
rnacentral:SRP_RNA from 2 species